CGCGGCGACACGGGGAGGCGCGCGGCCGGUCGUCGCCGGCGCCGGGUCCAGGCCGAGGGCGGCUGCCCCUCCGCUCGGCAUUGAGGAGGCGGGAGGAGGGGCGCGGCGAGGCGCACGGGAAAUCUGAUAGCAUUCUUUUUAUUGAAACAAGAGCAAUGAAAGUCCCUGAAAAAUGGAUGACACUCUGGUCCGUGAAGCCCAGAGUUUGUUUGGCCCAGGACAUUCGAGAAGUGUUGGAAACUGGCAUGCCGUGUGGUGCAGCGGGCCACAGGGAUGACGGGACUCUAGCAAAGAGGCUCAGACAGCCUACCUCUAACACCGGAUCCAGAAUCAUCUUCACACGGAAAGGAGGUAACGUGCAGGUCAGGGAGACAUAGCACGCGUCACCUCAUUCAGCGGUUGUCAGCCCCAGCUGCACAGUGACAUCCCAGCCCCUGCCCAGACCAAAGAAAUCCGACUUCUUUUCCUUUAAUCUCAUGUCUGCAAUAGAUUCAGGGCAAUGCCACAUCGCCAACCCCCACCCCCAGCGUGACCCUCCUUGCACAAAGAUAAAGCAAGCUGACAUUGGGGAGAGGGGUGAAGGAGACCCCAGAAAUAUUCAGUGAGGUGGAGUGCCAGAGCUUCAAAGGCCUCUGCGUGGCAGCUGUCAGUAAGAGCCACAGACACCUUAGCUCAGCAGGCUCAUCGGACUCCCUUCUGGCUUCCUGGGGGCCUGUGACACAGGGCAGGUGUUUUUGAAUCCGGAUGAAGGGAGCAAGGGAGAUGCGCCACCCAGAGAAAGAAGCCAGGGGAGGACGGCGGAUGGGGACACUGUUCCAGGGACUGCAUCUCUCUCUCCCCAGAACCAGGAGUACAUCCUUUUUGCAGCACUCCCCGACCUCUCUUGCCCUGAUGCAGCCAGGGAAGGAUGGCCUUCUCACAUGCCUCCUCCGAGAAAAAGUUCUCCAGAACCAGCAAGGCCAGGACCCUGGUGUCCAGUCCAUAUAGGACCUGCCCCAAGAGCUCUUGAAAACACUGGAGACAAGAUUGUUUUUUGUUUUUUGUUGUUGUUGUUGUUGUUGUUUGGGGGUUUUUUUUUAUUGUUUUGUUUUUGUUUUUGUUUUUGACAAGAAUGUUUUUAACUGGGCCUCCUCUGCCAUCACCCGGAGCUCACACCUCAGGUUACCUGCCUCUGUUGGAUUCAAAUUGAUCCAAAUUAAAAUCCCUGCUACAAAUUCCUCCUGGCUUUGCCAUCUCAGUC